UACAGAGGGUGCAAGCGUUAAUCGGAAUUACUGGGCGUAAAGCGUGCGUAGACGGUUAUGUAAGUCGGGUGUGAAAGCCCCGGGCUCAACCUGGGAAUGCCAUUCGAGACUGCAUAGCUAGGGUGCGGAAGAGGGAAGCGGAAUUUCCGGUGUGAGCGGUGAAAUGCGUAGAUAUACGGAAGGAACACCAGUGGCGAAAGGCGGGCUUCCUCGUGCC
rnacentral:rRNA from 1 species